AGCAUGGCAUCAGCAGAAACUCUUAAAGGGUGUGGAAGACUUCUGUUGACGGUAGCACUUGGGGGCCAAGUCAUGAGGCAAGAAGCUGUCAUCUCUUAGCAUCCUCGGGAUCACAGAUAAGGAUAUAGUUUAUGCCUAUCGAGGGACCAGCUUGUGGUGAGGCAGCGGCACCACUCGGCAAUGGGCAUAAACGGUAGCAGUGGCAUGAGGGAUCUGAUCUGCCCAGGUGGAAAUUGAGUCCCCAUAAACACCAUCAAGUGUCAUUGGCAGCGUGGGCACUGGAAAGAAAACCUGAGGCAAGAGUCUCAUCUGGUUCAUCUCUGCAACUUCCUCGGAAUCUGGCUGAAGUUGGAAGCCUAGAUUACAUUGACUAGCAAAUUAAACGGGCCAUGCCUUAGAAGGAGUAUCCUCAGGCAAACUCCAGACCAGAUUAAUUCUCUCAAAUGACUGCCGAUUAUCGCUGAGUUUCAUGGAAGAUCUAAAG
rnacentral:lncRNA from 1 species